UCUCUGCCAGACACUGAACUUGGUUUGGUAUGCUGUUGUUUUUUUUUACCCCACCCAUCCCACCUGUCCCCCUCUGGCCCUCCUGUGACUGUCCCUUACCCACAUACUGUGAGGCUACAUUAACAAUCUAAUGGAGUUUGUGGUCCCCAGA